rnacentral:lncRNA from 1 species
UGUUCUACUCAUUUUGCAAAUAAGCCGAACAUAAAUUGACUCGUUAAAAUAUCGAGCCGAAAAAUUUAACUCGUGUUCAGCUCGUUUAUUAACGAGCUGAAUACGAGUCAACUCACGAACAACAAGUUAAAAGAAUUAAAAACAUAUAAAUAUAAUGCAUAAAUUUAUGAGAUCUUACGAAUUAGGCUUUAAUCUAAUGAUUGAAAUUUUUCAUAUGAAUAGAGUUUUUUAUAAUUGAGUUAGGUUUUAUAUUUUGGUUGGACUGAAAAUUAAAUAAUAAAAAUAUGUAUUAUAUAUAUACAAUUAUUUAUUUAACUCUAGAAAACUAUCAUCAUUCUAACCACACAUUCCUUCAUCCGAGCCGAAAACCUAAUAGCACAAAGCAUUUGAUACUAUUAAUAGUAUGGUAGUCUAAUUCUUUGAGUGGAUAGUUGGUUGAAUAGAAAGAAUACGAAGUCGAUCAUACUCAUAAGAGUGUAGAAGUCGGACUCUAUAUAUAUAUAUAUAUAUAUAACUUGAGUGG